CUCACAUAGAGGCAGCAGUAGAGAAUCUUGUGCAAUAUACGAAAGUAUGACACAGAGAGGACACAUUUAAUUGAGCCUGUCAAAUUAAGUGCCAGCCGACGCGGUUAGACUUAAGGGCUGGUCUUUAUAAGUAAAAAGGCGUAAAGGAUGUGUAGGCCAAAAAAUUAUCCAAGAAGGUAAAUGGAAUUUUUCUGGAGCGGUAGAAUGUGAGGAUAGAAAAUAGAACCCCUAAGGUUAAAACUAUUUACCACAAGAGAGGCUGAAACAUGAAAGUGUGGGGAGCAAACAGGAUUAGAGACCCUGGUAGUCCACACUGUGAACUUUGAAGAUGAUGCUUAGCAGACCCGAAAGGUAAAAUCUUCCGCCUGAGUAGUACGAUCGCAAGAUUAAAAUUCAAAAACUUUGGCUGUUCACUAUUUCGAUUAGAGGAGCGUGUAGUUUAAUUCGAUGGUCCGCGUGUUACCUCACCCCAACUUGAAUCUUUGACCGGUAUUGCAUGGCCGUCGUAAGUCCGUGUGUUAAGCUAGAAGGGACCCAACCCGGGCACACGCCCGGAGGAAGUCAGGUCUUAUGAUCCGAAUGUUUGGGGAUUAUAUGCGCUACAUUUUCUUAUAUAAUGGGAAACCUAAAAGGUGAACCCUUAAAGUAAGAGUUCGGAAGGUCGCUGUAAAACGACUGGAAGUUGGAUUUAAUAGUAAUCGGAAAGUAGGGCGUUCCGGUGAAUUGGUACAAGUGUUAGCACAAAUUGCCCGUCACCUUUACCUAGAAUGGUUAUUCGGNACGCCUUAGGUGGUUACGAAUGCCUACGAGGUAAAGCAA
rnacentral:rRNA from 1 species